CCUAAGGUAGUAUAUCGGUAAGUACACGCGCCUGUCAUUCGUUAGAUCUGAGUGAAACGCGCGAAAGCUGGGUUCGACUCCCAGCCAGGG